UACGAAGGGGGCUAGCGUUGCUCGGAAUUACUGGGCGUAAAGCGCACGUAGGCGGAUUGUUAAGUCGGGGGUGAAAUCCUGGAGCUCAACUCCAGAACUGCCUUCGAUACUGGCGAUCUCGAGUUCGGGAGAGGUGAGUGGAACUGCGAGUGUAGAGGUGAAAUUCGUAGAUAUUCGCAGGAACACCAGUGGCGAAGGCGGCUCACUGGCCCGAUACUGACGCUGAGGUGCGAAAGCGUGGGGAGCGAACAGG
rnacentral:rRNA from 1 species